GCUAGCGGCAGGCCUAAUACAUGCAAGUCGAACGGUAACAUUGGUGCUUGCACCAGAUGACGAGUGGCGCACGGGUGCGUAACGCGUAUGCAACCUACCUUUUACUAGAGUAUAGCCCAGAGAAAUUUGGAUUAAUCCUCUAUAAUAUCUUUUAAUUUCAUGAUUUUAAGAUUAAAGUUUUAACGGUAAAAGAUGGGCAUGCGUCCCAUUAGUUUGUAGGUGAGGUAACGGCUCACCUAGACUACGAUAGGUAGGGGCCCUGAGAGGGGGAUCCCCCACACUGGUACUGAGACACGGACCAGACUCCUACGGGAGGCAGCAGUAAGGAAUAUUGGACAAUGGACGAAAGUCUGAUCCAGCCAUGCCGCGUGCAGGAUGACAGCCCUACGGGUUGUAAACUGCUUUUAUACAGGAAGAAACACUCCGACGUGUCGGAGCUUGACGGUACUGUAAGAAUAAGGAUCGGCUAACUCCGUGCCAGCAGCCCGCGGUAAUACGGAGGAUCCAAGCGUUAUCCGGAAUCAUUGGGUUUAAAGGGUCCGCAGGCUGUUUUUUAAGUCAGAGGUGAAAUCCUGCAGCUCAACUGUAGAACUGCCUUUGAUACUGGAAAACUUGAGUUAUUGUGAAGUGGUUAGAAUGUGUGGGGUA
rnacentral:rRNA from 1 species